UAGGGAAUCUUCGGCAAUGGACGAAAGUCUGACCGAGCAACGCCGCGUGAGUGAAGAAGGUUUUCGGAUCGUAAAACUCUGUUGUUAGAGAAGAACAAGGACGUUAGUAACUGAACGUCCCCUGACGGUAUCUAACCAGAAAGCCACGGCUAACUACGUGCCAGCAGCCGCGGUAAUACGUAGGUGGCAAGCGUUGUCCGGAUUUAUUGGGCGUAAAGCGAGCGCAGGCGGUUUCUUAAGUCUGAUGUGAAAGCCCCCGGCUCAACCGGGGAGGGUCAUUGGAAACUGGGAGACUUGAGUGCAGAAGAGGAGAGUGGAAUUCCAUGUGGAGCGGUGAAAUGCGUAGAUAUAUGGAGGAAAACCAGUAGCGAAGGUGGCUAUCUGGUCUGUAACUGACGCUGAGGCUCGAAAGCGUGGGGAGCAAACAGG
rnacentral:rRNA from 1 species